rnacentral:rRNA from 1 species
UACGUAGGGGGCAAGCGUUGUUCGGAAUUACUGGGCGUAAAGGGCGCGUAGGCGGCCUGUUAAGUCGGACGUGAAAUCCCUCGGCUCAACCGGGGAACUGCGUCCGAUACUGGCGGGCUUGAAUUCGGGAGAGGGAUGUGGAAUUCCAGGUGUAGCGGUGAAAUGCGUAGAUAUCUGGAGGAACACCGGUGGCGAAGGCGGCAUCCUGGACCGACAUUGACGCUGAGGCGCGAAAGCCAGGGGAGCAAACGGG